GUCUGUGAUGCCCUUAGAUGUUCUGGGCCGCACGCGCGCUACACUGACAGAGCCAGCGAGUUCCUCCCUUGGCCGGAAGGUCCGGGUAAUCUUGUGAAACUCUGUCGUGCUGGGGAUAGAGCAUUGCAAUUAUUGCUCUUCAACGAGGAAUGCCUAGUAAGCGCAAGUCAUCAGCUUGCGUUGAUUACGUCCCUGCCCUUUGUACACACCGCCCGUCGCUACUACCGAUUGAAUGGCUUAGUGAGGUCUUCGGAUCGGCUUCGGGGACCCGGCAACGGGACCCUGUUGCUGAGAAGUUGAUCAAACUUGGUCAUUUAGAGGAAGUAAAAGUCGUAACAAGGUCUCCGUAGGUGAACCUGCGGAGGGAUCAUUAGUGAAAUCAAACUGCGGGAGGAUGUGCUGGCUUUGUUGCAUGUGCACUCCAAACGCUAAUCCACUUACCCCUGUGCACCUUUGACCUGAGCUCGUCUCCUGCUAGCACCAUCUGGCAUUCAAGGAGGCGGUCUCUGGUACUUUACACACUCGUUGUCUCAGAAUGUCUCUUGUGCUUAACGCAUAAAUACAACUUUCAACAACGGAUCUCUUGGCUCUCGCAUCGAUGAAGAACGCAGCGAAUUGCGAUACGUAAUGUGAAUUGCAGAAUUCAGUGAAUCAUCGAAUCUUUGAACGCACCUUGCACCCUUUGGUAUUCCGAAGGGUAUGCCCGUUUGAGCGUCAUUGUAAUCUCACACCCAGGGUUUCUUUGAAGCCAAGGGAGGUGGACUUGAGAGUUGCAGCGCAUCCGCUGCUCUCUUGAAAUGCAUGAGCAGACCCCAUUGUGCAGUCAGCCGGUGUGAUAAUUGUCUUCACCGCUUGUGAUCCGUUCACAAAGCUGCAUGGUUGGUGUUGCCUGCUGCCAAUCGUCUUUGGACAACUUUGACAACUUGACCUCAAAUCGGGUAGGACUACCCGCUGAACUUAA
rnacentral:rRNA from 1 species